rnacentral:rRNA from 1 species
ACGGGUGAGUAAUGCUUAGGAAUCUGCCUAUUAGUGGGGGACAACAUCUCGAAAGGGAUGCUAAUACCGCAUACGUCCUACGGGAGAAAGCAGGGGACCUUCGGGCCUUGCGCUAAUAGAUGAGCCUAAGUCGGAUUAGCUAGUUGGUGGGGUAAAGGCCUACCAAGGCGACGAUCUGUAGCGGGUCUGAGAGGAUGAUCCGCCACACUGGGACUGAGACACGGCCCAGACUCCUACGGGAGGCAGCAGUGGGGAAUAUUGGACAAUGGGGGGAACCCUGAUCCAGCCAUGCCGCGUGUGUGAAGAAGGCCUUUUGGUUGUAAAGCACUUUAAGCGAGGAGGAGGCUACCGAGAUUAAUACUCUUGGAUAGUGGACGUUACUCGCAGAAUAAGCACCGGCUAACUCUGUGCCAGCAGCCGCGGUAAUACAGAGGGUGCAAGCGUUAAUCGGAUUUACUGGGCGUAAAGCGCGCGUAGGUGGCCAAUUAAGUCAAAUGUGAAAUCCCCGAGCUUAACUUGGGAAUUGCAUUCGAUACUGAUUGGCUAGAGUAUGGGAGAGGAUGGUAGAAUUCCAGGU